AGAAAGCCCCUAACUCAUGGGCUUAGUGAAUCCCAGGUAUGUUCUCACUUCCUUAUGUUUUAUUUCAUUUUAGUGCAUUAAGGACAAUGCAUAAUUUUUAGUUGAAGAGGGGGAAUACUAUACCAUCGUAGGUUUUUGUUGCCGUGCUUCUUUUUUUAUCUGUUAUGAUAUGAUUAUAGAAUUGCAUGUCUAGGAUAAUUAUGUGUCAUAUUGUAUUUUUCUUCAUAUUAAGUUGUUUUUGUGUAAUUAGGAGAUUGUAAGUAUUUAGGGUAGUAGUUAGAUUUUGACUGAUUUUUGAUAACCUUAUAAAAUGUUAUGUCUUAGAACUAUGUUGAUGUCCUGUAUGUACAUAUGUAUGAACUUUAUGGAUCUUUUUAUGGCAUUAGAAUUAGGGGCAUGAUAACAAUUUGUAGACUAUUGAAUGAACUGAAUAGGUAGUAUUUGGUGAUAUUGACUCUGUGCUAUGUGUGUGUAAGAUACUACCUAGUUCCCUUUAUAUAUUAAAUUCAGAACUUGCCUGGUUAGUCUUGACUAGGUUGAAUGAUAGUAAGUUAGGAAAGGAUCAUAGGCUGUUUUUUAUUUUAGUCCACUUUUAUCCUAAAUAACUUCCAUGUACGAAUAGUAUCCCUUGAUCUUUAUUUUGAGCCUUGUAAGCUAAUUUUUCUUAUUUUAACCAUUCACCUUUCUAUUUAUAUUAUAAUUUACCUAUUUUAGCCCUGUUCCUCCUUGGAUAGUAUGAACCUCAACACAGGUAGAAAUCUUAAGUUGAGGGUGGCUAUCAUAGGGGUGUGUAGUGUAAAAUAGGUAUGAAGAAGGGUAAGAUAGGAGAAAAGAAAGUAGGGCUGGGAGUAGUAAUGAAAAACAGAGAAAAAUUCUGAAAAGAAAAAAAAGAAAGAAUAAAAAACCACACCCAACCUGAAUGUGCAUAAAAGAAUGAAAGAGAGAAAUAAGGGUGGAAUGAAAAGAAUUGGCUAGUAAGUGAGACCCCAAAGUUAGUGUACUUCCAAGGAGGCUUAGUCACUUCAUAUGUCCUUAUGUAUCAUACCAGCCCCCAAGCCUACAUUACAGGCCGAGAAAAGUCCUAUAGUGAUCCUUACUUGACUAUCUGAAUGCUAAGGUAAAGAAAAUAAGGGCAAGACUAUGGUAUUUGACAUGUAUUGAAAAGAGAUUCUUUGUUGAGCAUAAGUGUCUGUUGAUCGUCCCUACAUUAACAUGCAUAAUUUCAUAUGAGUGAGUGGGUCAUUCUUGUUAUGAAGGCACUUGAGUCAUGUUGCAAGCUAUCUACUUGCUUCGGGUAGUGUAAUUUGUAUUUAUGAGUUGUUGUCUGUUGCUAAUGUAAUUGUCAUAACUUGAUUCCCUUAUGUCACAUUGUUGAGCUUCAUGUUUAUACAUAGUUGGAUUUGAAAAAGAUUUAUACGAGGGGAUGUUAUGAUUCGAACUUAAUGUAAUGUCUAACUGCCUUAAAUAUCUCAAAUUCUCUUAGUUAAGCAUCAUUUUUUCUUUGUUGUGUUUUUGUUGCCUGAGGACAUACAAACAUUAUAAGUUGAUGGUGUUGAUGUGCUAUAGAAAUAUAACACUUUCGAUGCUCAAAAUGAGGAAAAUAUGCAAGUUUCUGAGGGAUUUUUGUUAGAUUUGAUCUUUUAUAGGUAUUUUUUGCAGGAAACCAUGUUUUGGAUGAUAAGUUUGUGAAAAAGGUGCUAUUGGUCACUUUGGAGAAACUAUGGAUGAUUGGGAUGUUUUCCAGUUUAAUUUUGAUUAAUGCAUGUUCGAGAGUCAAAGAAGAGCUAAAAAACUGACUCCCCACACCUACCAAGUUAACAUGUGGCCGCAAGUAGGACCUACUGACCACAUGUAAACAAAACCUGCGCCCUGUGCCUAGGCCACAGGUAGUACCUGCCUCCUUCCAGACCACAGGUGUGGGGAGUAGGUGGCCACUGCCCCAGUUUUCUCCUAUUU
rnacentral:lncRNA from 1 species